rnacentral:rRNA from 1 species
GGUUGAUCCUGCCAGUAGUCAUAUGCUUGUCUCAAAGAUUAAGCCAUGCAUGUCUAAGUAUAAACUGCUUAUACUGUGAAACUGCGAAUGGCUCAUUAAAUCAGUUAUAGUUUAUUUGAUGGUACACUACUACUCGGAUAACCGUAGUAAUUCUAGGGCUAAUACGUGCGUAAACCCUGACUUCUGGAAAGGGCGUAUUUAUUAGAUAAAAGGCCGACCGGACUUUGUCCGACCCGCGGUGAACCAUGAUAACUUCACGAAUCGCAUGGCCUUGCGCCGGCGAUGUUUCAUU